UCGCACCUACUGAUUAGGUUGUAUCAUGAGUUGGACGGAGUGGACAAGCCGAUGAAAAUUAGCUGUGACCACGAAGUUCUGCAAAUGGUAUUACCCAGAAGAAGGUA
rnacentral:rRNA from 1 species